GGAUAAAUAAAAAAUUUAUUAAAAACAUUGUAGCUCCAGUUGGAAAAAAGCAAAAAAACUGAGUUGGGAAAGCUUUUUUGGGUUCCGAAUUUUAGCCUUCAAAAAGCUAAAAGUAAAAAGCAAAAAAAUAAAAAAAAGCCAACAAACCAAACACUUGCUCAGCUUUUUUGCUUUAUUUAAGCAAUAAGCUAGAAAUAAGCUCAUACCAAACGGAGCCUAA
rnacentral:lncRNA from 1 species